rnacentral:ncRNA from 1 species
UGGACGGAGAGUUCGAUCCUGGCUCAGGAUGAACGCUGGCGGCGCGCCUAACACAUGCAAGUCGAACGGCACCCCUCCUCGGAGGAAGCGAGUGGCGAACGGCUGAGUAACACGU